rnacentral:misc_RNA from 1 species
UUAAGUUCAGCGGGUAGUCCUACCUGAUUUGAGGUCAAAAUUGUCAAAGUUGUCCUUGUAAGGGACGGUUAGAAGCAGGUCCUCUAAAUGUCUCCUGAUCCACGGCGUAGAUAAUUAUCACACCAAUAGAUUAGAGGACGGAACCCACUAAUACAUUUCAGAGGAGCAGACCGCUCGAGGCGGACCUGCAACCCCCACAU